GAUGAAGAACGUAGCGAAAUGCGAUACGUAAUGUGAAUUGCAGAAUUCAGUGAAUCAUCGAAUCUUUGAACGCAUAUUGCGCUCUCUGGUAUUCCGGAGAGCAUGCUUGUUUGAGUAUCAGUAAACACCUCAACUCCCUUUUCUUUUUUGAAAUUGGAGCUGGACUUGAGUGAUCCCAACGCUUUCUUCCAAGAAAGUGGCGGGUUGCUUGAAAUGCAGGUGCAGCUGAACUUUUCUCUGAGCUAUAAGCAUAUCUAUUUAGUCUGCCUAAAAAACAGAUUAUUACCUUUGCUGCAGCUAACAUAAAGGAGACUAGUUCUUGUGCUGACUGAUGCAGGAUUCACAGAGACAGCUUCGGCUGACUUUGUAAACUCGAUCUCAAAUCAAGUAAGACUACCCGCUGAACUUAAGCAUAUCAAUAGCGGAGGA
rnacentral:misc_RNA from 1 species